GUGUGGGACAGCAGGCAGUGACCAUGCCCCCCAUCCUACCUCCCCACCUUCAUCCUUCCAUCCCUCAGUGCUUUGCUCCCACAGCCCCACGUCUGCUGGUCCAGCUCCCUGAGCCUGGGAAGCGCUGGGUAGGGAACGGUGGCCAAGGCUGGAGCUGGGAGGAAGUGGAGUGUUGGAAGCAGGACUGUUUUAGAUGGCAAGCAGGAUGUCCCUCUAUAAAAGCGAGACACUCGAGCUGUGUGUGGUGGCAUUUUAAUGUGCUUUUAUCAAAGCAGCCACGUCCUUUUUUGUCAUUGUUUUAUGUUCGUUUUUAAACCUCCAUUAAACUACACAAGCCUUGGUUUUCAAACCCUGAUUACAGAGGUUGCUGCCAUGUUUGUUGGUGGAAAAUAUUGAAAACUGGACCUGCCAUUUUUCUUUCUUUUUUUGUUUCCUUUAAACCCUUUGUGCUUCUGUUGGUUGCUCACAGUUAUCUUCCAGCUGACAAACUUUUGCAUCCUAUUUUUUUUUUUUUUUUUUGUCACAGAACUACACAUUUUGUAACCAGCCUCUUGAAGGUAACAUAAGGCAGCUAAUUAGUUGGAUUUCUGGUAGCACAUGCUACCAGAUUCGUAAUCCUGUUUGGAUUUUAGAGAGCUCUUAGAUGUGAUACACUAAUAUGAUCAGGAAGGACACUUGGCUGAAUCCAUAGGGAGCCUGAGGAUGCUGAGCACAGUGUGGAGCCUCAGAUGGGGAAUGGAAUAUUAAUGCAGCAGCCGAGUGAUUUGUCUUGUGUGGUUCAUAGCCCUGGUUUUUAUUGAGGCUGGUAAAUUACUUUACCUUGGCUUAUAAAAAUUUCAAGUUCUCUAACGUUCUUUACUCUCAUGAAACUACUGUUGCCGUUACAAUAAAGAUGAUCGUUGUUUCGAUUGUAAAUCUUGCAUUUUUGAAGUGGUUCAACUUUCCCAGAGCAGCUUAAGGCUGAAGUACCAGUCUUGAAAAAGAAGUGAAUGUAAAAUCCCCUCUCCUCUCCCACACCUCUUCCCUGAUUUCUGGGAGAGCAGAGUCUCUUGCAUUCCCUCUGCUCCUAGUCCUGUGCUUCUUGGGGAAUAUGGGAAAAGAAAUGGCCAUAUUUUAAAAACCAUUUUGGGGUUUUUAAACACUCUUGCAAGUGUUUGGUUCACAGAGUUGUUCCCCUUCAAUCCAGACUGUGUUUCAAGCUACUCUUGCCCAUUGGGUUCUUAGGGUGUUUUUUUUUUUUGGUAUUAAAACGUGCAAGGAUUAUUCCAGUUCAUCUGGUCAAACAGCUGGUUCUUCACCUGCUGGACCAGAUCUUUUCUGAAGAGGGUAUUUUGUAAGUUCCACUUCAAAUACAUAUUUUUGGGGUCUUUUUUUUUCCCCAGCAUGGUUAAGAAAAGUCAAGGCUGUGAAAAAAUCUUGUUUCCCUUGUUCUCAGCUCAGGUUUUGGGACUGGAUUGUUUUAUGCCUGGCGAGUUUGGCCCUUUAUCUCACAGAACUGUUCUUUUUUUGUUUUCCUCACACCUUCAUUUCUCGUGGCUGUUCCAUGAUGCUUAUUUUCUGAGUUUGUCACGUCCCAAACACUAUGUAAAUCCCAUGCUUUGGGGAUUUUGGAACUUUUUCUAAAUCUUCCUGUCUUGCUGAUUUAUGCAAACACUAAGCCCUGAUGGUCUCUUGGCUGCUCUGUUAGAAGUGCAGCAGUUUACAUUCAUAUUUUUAUUACAUUUAAUUAUUUUUAGCACACCCCAUUUUUCAGCAGCAGCAGCAGCUUCACAUUUUUCAAUGUCCUUUCUUAAUUAAUUUGUGUUAAGCAUUCUGAUUUCUUGAAGGAAAGCUGUGCAAAUGCCUUUCUUUGGGAGGAUGAAUGGUUCUUCGUGGAGCAGAAAGUUUUGUUCACAGGAGGCUUUGAAAAUCUUGUUCCAUAGCUGUAGUUUUGGAGCCUCUGCAGAGAGGUAAAUGGAUUUAUUCCAAAGUUUUAGUUAGUCUCGAGUUCUGCCCUGAUCUUACCAUUUAAAAACUAGUAGUUUAUAACUUGUAUUAUACAUUCUUUUGGAGAUUCUAAAUCCACACCACCACGCUGAGUUUUGCAGUUUAUGCCAAUAGUCCUGCCUUGAACGAGGUUUGAUCAAAAUUGGCAGUUUUGGUUGGAAUUUUAUAUUUAAGGUGAUUUGCUUCAGUUUCUGAUCAGCCUGGGAAUGCCAACCAUGCUGAGCUAAACGGGUUUCCGAGUGGACUCUGGGGGAGAGCCUGACAAAAACGGGGCAGCUGAGAAGCUUUUCAUUUGGUUUUAACUUCAUCAAAGCAGAAGAGUGUGAGGGGAGAGAAGCAGCACACCUUGGGUGACUCACCAGUGCCAGGUAAUGGUUCUGAGCCUGCUCAGCUCCUGUGCCAGCACAGGAGGUGAUGGACAACCAGGGAUAGUGGCGGAAGAUGUGCUGGAAUUCCUGGUUUUUUCCUUUUUUAUUUCUUUUUUUUUUUCUUUCCCUUUUUUCUUUUUUUUUUCCCUCCACUGGUGAUGGUCACAAAGGUACAAUAGACACUGAGGCACCCAGGUUUUAAGGAGGGAGGGAAGCAAAACUGUAACAUGCUGGAAGCUUUUGAGCUGUAGAAACUGGUGCUUUGCUUUAUGUAAUUUGUUUGUGAAGUGUUUAUUUUUAUAACAGAUCAUAUUGUUGAACACAUGGUUCUUCAAAUCUUACAAACUGAUCCGUGAGUUUUAAUAUUUGGUUGAGAAGUGGACGUUCAUCUGUUGGGGGGAGGUGAAAAUGAAGCAGAUGGAUAUUUAAAGGGACACUGUCACGAGGUAGUUGCUGGCAUGUAGGAGAUGUUAGUUUGAGGGGGGGUCACACCUAUAUGUGGAAAUUAUAUAUUCUAUAUGUGUAUGAUCAAAUAGAAAAAUGUUCCCUGAGCUUUCGAAUAUUUUCCUACAGUUUUGGGAGGUUCAAAUAUAAGUUCUGAUCAAAUAGGAAGCAACACUAACUGUUCUGUUCUUGCUGUCCAAGGUGACUUUUUGUUUCUUAAGUGCUCUGAGGAGCAUCAGAGCUCCGAGAGCCGACAGUGUCCUCUCGAGGCCUCCCCAAAAAUCAAGUGUGCCCUCCUUUCAGACUCCCCACUUCAGUAGCUGACUGGCAUUUUGAAUGUCUUUUCAUUGAACUCUUUCUACUAAAAACAAACCACGACUCUUUCUAAAAGUCUAGUCAAGUCCUGCCACGUGCUGACUCUGUAUCAACCACUGUUGGCCCCGACUCCAGCCUUCCUGCCCCUGCAGCCGGUCCAGCAUGCUCAGUGUGACUGCAAACCACCGUUGUGCAUAUGCUUUGUAUAUUGGGGGCGAGGGGUUUUUUAUAUAUAUAUUUUGGGAGGGGGGGGAGGGGGUAGCGGGGUGGGACAGAGGAAAUCCUCAAAUCAGCUUAAGCCAGAACUUAAAUGUGUGUAAAAGCCCCCGAGGUCUGUGGUGUGUGAGUGCGCGGGUGUGAGUGCGCGCCUGGGAGCGUCCGACAUCUGAUCCCCUUUGUGUUCACGAGCUUUGUGAGUUUGAACUUUCUUUUCUUUAAAUUUUUUUCCUUUUAUUUUUGUUUUGUUUUGUUUUCGUUUUUCCUCUCCUGCAGAAGCAAUUGUUAAUGGAAUUUAAAACUGUAAAUAAGAGGCUACGUUAAUUUUUUUCGGUUUUAACAUCGCAGCAAACCCUGAAUAAUCAGUUGGAAGGUGUAGAGAGAGGAGGAGGAGACUCCAGGUAGGGCCUUGGGCAAGGCAUCAUUCUGUGGUAUGCAAUGAAUAUUUGUCUUGAGUAUUUGCAAUCCCCUGCUGAGCUUUUCUAAAAAUCAGGCUCUUUGCAGUUCCCCUCCCCAUCCUCUUUAAUUUUUUUUUUUUGGUUGAUCUCAAGAGCAGACAGAAAAGGGGCAGCUGCAAACAGUCACCUCUGGGCCCAGUGGGGUUGGCAACUCUUGCAAUACCUUGACAACACUGAGAUAAGCAUGGUACUAGGAGUUAAGUCUGAAUGUAACAUUAAUGCUUUAUUUAAAAUAAAAAGAAAAACCCCACACUUUCUUCUGGUUUUGUUUUUUCAAGGGGUUGAAGUGAACAUGACUGUCGACCAUGUUCGUGAAUUUAUAGAUGCAACAUUCAUUGGUAGAAUUGUGUGAUGGUCUUUUGUGCUACUUAAUUUUACAUAUUCCAGUCUCUGUAUGUACCUGCAAAGAAAGAAAAAAAAAUAACAAAACCCUGCUUUGCUUUUAUUGAAAGGGUUCCCAGGACUGCAUACCUGCUCCUGAGCUCUGUUUUAAGUAUGUGUAUCCUUUGCUUGUAUUUUGUAUUAAAAAAAAA